CAGAACUAAGUCAUGCAUGCCUUCGAAUAAGAGGAAGCAAUUCUCUCUGAAUCUGCGAACGGCUCCGCAAACCAGUUGUAAACUAUAGCAAGUACGCUCGGGUCCUGGCUUCACGGCUAGGGCUCGGGUAAUACGGAUACCCCUGGUAAUUCUGAGGCUAAUACGAGAUCGUAACCCCUGGCUAACCGGGCAACUGGAAGGCUGGGGAACGUGUGACCGCGUACGAGGAAUAACCGGGAAUGGGCGCACGUUCAGACCGCGCUACAAAGGAUGGGAUUGCCGACCUCACGGAAGGUAGUCUCGCCCCAGCGGCUCUUGCGUUGUGCUUCUGACCUAUCAACUAGAUGGCAGCGUAACGGACAUGCUAUGGUGACAACGGGUACAGAGGUUUAGGGUUCGA
rnacentral:rRNA from 1 species